GAUGAACGCUGGCGGCGUGCCUAAUACAUGCAAGUCGAGCGAACAGACGAGGAGCUUGCUCCUCUGACGUUAGCGGCGGACGGGUGAGUAACACGUGGAUAACCUACCUAUAAGACUGGGAUAACUUCGGGAAACCGGAGCUAAUACCGGAUAAUAUAUUGAACCGCAUGGUUCAAUAGUGAAAGACGGUUUUGCUGUCACUUAUAGAUGGAUCCGCGCCGCAUUAGCUAGUUGGUAAGGUAACGGCUUACCAAGGCAACGAUGCGUAGCCGACCUGAGAGGGUGGUUGGAUACACGGGAAGUGAGACACAGCCCAGACACCUACAGUGGGACACGGUAGGGAAUCUUACGGGAGGGGGGAGUGCGGGACAGUGCAACGCCGCGUAAGGGAUGAUGGAGCUAGGAUCGGAGAGUGAUGUAGGUCGGAGGGAUGAAAAGUGUAUGUAACCGUGCAGGUAAUGACGGUACCGGGACAGAAAGCCACGGCUAACUACGUG
rnacentral:rRNA from 1 species